rnacentral:rRNA from 1 species
GAUGAACGCUGGCGGCGUGCCUAAUACAUGCAAGUCGAGCGAACAGAUGAGGAGCUUGCUCCUCUGACGUUAGCGGCGGACGGGUGAGUAACACGUGGAUAACCUACCUAUAAGACUGGGAUAACUUCGGGAAACCGGCGCUAAUACCGGAUAAUAUAUUGAACCGCAUGGUUCAAUAGUGAAAGACGGUUUUGCUGUCACUUAUAGAUGGAUCCGCGCCGCAUUAGCUAGUUGGUAAGGUAACGGCUUACCAAGGCAACGAUGCGUAGCCGACCUGAGAGGGUGAUCGGCCACACUGGAACUGAGACACGGUCCAGACUCCUACGGGAGGCAGCAGUAGGGAAUCUUCCGCAAUGGGCGAAAGCCUGACGGAGCAACGCCGCGUGAGUGAUGAAGGUCUUCGGAUCGUAAAACUCUGUUAUUAGGGAAGAACAAAUGUGUAAGUAACUAUGCACGUCUUGACGGUACCUAAUCAGAAAGCCACGGCUAACUACGUG